rnacentral:misc_RNA from 1 species
CUUUUUUGCAAACCUCAGGUCUCACCUCUUCGGCUCUUCCUCGUUCCACCCUUCUUCUCUCUCCCGUUUUUCGCUUUUCACUCUUUUACUCUCUCUCACUCGAUUAGGGUUAGGGUCUUAUGCAAUUCCCCCAAAUUCACUUCUCUUCUCUUCUUUUCCCUCUCUGUAAUGCUUCUUAAUCCUCAGUUUUGACCUCAGACUCGCCAAUGUACGGUCAUUCCCAGCCUAUGAACGUUCAUCAUCAGAUCGCUGCCCCCGCCGCCGAUGACGAAGACGGUGCUGCUGCUGACUCUAUCGACCAUCACCAUAUUCGUUAUGAAGACGGCAACGCUGCUGGUGUUGUCGUGGAGGAUGUAUCUCACGAUUCAGUAUACGUUCCUGGUAGUGGUACUGGCUCCGAGCUCGCUAUUCAGCGAAGCGAUGUCUCCAGCCAACUCACAUUGACGUUUCGCGGUCAAGUUUAUGUGUUCGAUGCUGUUACUCCUGAUAAGGUUCAAGCAGUGCUAUUACUAUUGGGUGGAUGUGAACUAACUUCAGGUCCGCAUGGUCUAGAAGUAGCACCUCAAAACCAAAGGGGUGCAGUGGUGGAGUAUCCAGGACGAUGUACUCAACCCCAGAGAGCAGCCUCAUUAAAUAGGUUCAGGCAGAAGAGGAAAGAGCGGUGCUUUGAUAAGAAAGUUAGAUACAGCGUACGCCAAGAGGUUGCACUCAGGAUGCAGCGUAAUAAGGGUCAAUUUACUUCUUCCAAGAAGUCAGAUGGAGCAUAUGGUUGGGCUGGUGGUCAGGAUUCAGGACAAGAUGACAGCCAGCAAGAAACCUCGUGUACACAUUGUGGCAUUAGUUCAAAAUCAACCCCGAUGAUGCGGCGUGGUCCGUCAGGCCCAAGGUCACUUUGUAAUGCCUGUGGGCUUUUUUGGGCAAACAGGGGGACUUUAAGAGAUCUAUCCAAGAAAACCCUGGAACAUUCUGCGACACCAAUUGAACAGGGUGAAGCUGAAGCAAAUGACUCGGACUCUGGAAAUGCCAUGCAGACACAUAACAAUCUUCUUACUUGCUAAAUUGGUGAUGAUUCAGCUUUAAUAGCAGGGCGAUAAGUUUCGAAGCUUUGUUUCAAGAAUGGCCACAGCAGCAGUUGGCACCGACUCAAGUUGAAGGUUUUCUAGUAAUUUCUUUCAGCUUGUUCUCUGUAAUGUACAGAUAUUAUAGUGUCAUCAUUAAUACAUGAGGUUGUCUUCCUUCCUUAGGUACUUUACAUGAGAUUACCUCUUGGGGAUUUUAUGCCAGGUGUAUCACAUAAAGCUUCGCUGAUUUAUCAUUGGAAAUUUUAUAUCCCAAAUUUUUUUAAUAUGUUAAUGUCCGACCACCAUCACAGAUGGCCCCUUUUCCGUGUCAGAAGCUCUAUAAAAUCAUUAGCAGCUUCGCUGAAAGGUAUCCCUGCAUCCACACGUUCUAAACAUUAGUUCCGAUUAACUGACCAAUUAGCCAGUUCAUCCAAGAAUGAAGUCACUUCUAAACAUGAAUCUCAUUAUAGCAGCACGCCUACUAUAGUGUUGCCCUUUCUAUAAUAAUCUCUUUCUCGCUAACAAAUAAACAGCCUAUUGGUAACUUGAUCAGGCAAAAUCCCCAAAAUUAGGAGUACCUAUUGUGUUCUCCUCUGCCAUUCGUGUAUGUUUGAUUUAUAUUUAUUGUGAUAAAGAUAAUUAUGUAAUCCUAUAAUAAAAAUUA